UUCCGUAGGUGAACCUGCGGAAGGAUCAUUACUGUGAUUUAUAUCUUAUACACAUGCGUGAGCGCACCAAACACCUAAAAUUGUAAUAAUAACAGUCAGUAAGUUUUAACAAAACAAAACUUUCAACAACGGAUCUCUUGGUUCUCGCAUCGAUGAAGAGCGCAGCGAAAUGCGAUACCUAGUGUGAAUUGCAGCCAUCGUGAAUCAUCGAGUUCUUGAACGCACAUUGCGCCCCAUGGUAUUCCAUGGGGCAUGCCUGUCUGAGCGUCGUUUCCUUCUUGCGCAAGCAGAGUUGAGAACAGGCUAUGCCUUUUUCGAAAUGGAACGUCGUGGACGAAGUGAACUAAACAUUUAGCACGCUUUUGCCGUCCGAGCUCCUGCGGAGCACAUCAAGUGAGCUCUGCGCGAGACGCAGACCGCGUC
rnacentral:rRNA from 1 species